UGUAAGCUUGUCAGGCCCACCUGUACCAGCGUGCAGAGAGAGAUGCCCAGCCUCUGCUGGUUGGGACCCAGGUACCGCAUCAGGUUCUCUCCAGGGAGGGUGGAGCGGAAGGCCACCAGAACCACCACGGUUCUGCUCAGCAGGCAGGAGAGGCACAGCACGAAGCUGAUCCCAAACAGGGUGUGUCUCAGCAUGCAGGACCAAGGCCUGGGCUGACCAAUGAACGCCAGCGCACACAGGAAGCAGAGCUUGAGUGACAGCAGAAGCAGGAAGCUCAGCUCUGAGUUGUUGGCCCGGACCUAAAGAGAUUAAUAAAUACAAAAACAUUAUACAGGAAACCUAUCAUAUAAAAUGUUGUAUGAGUACAAAUAUGUAACAGCAGUGUAGCAUGUUCUAAAUCACACAGUGUACUCGUACCAAUGGCGUGUGUCGGUGACAAAUAAAAGUAAUCAAGGUUGCGGCUGUUAGUGUUGCCCCGACGACAGAGAUGACGGACAGGACGAUUCCCAUGCUGUCGCUGAGGGACAGGAAGUCCACCUGCUGGGGGAUGCACUCAGUGUGGUCUGGGCUGGACCAGAACCUCUCAGGACACCGGCUGCACUCCACCGACCCUGAGAGGGAAGGGCCCGAGUCGGGAGAAGAGGUGAAACUGACCCCCUGAUCCGUCAGAUGACACAAAAUGUCCGACAGUGGAAAACUCCACCCCACCCUGCGGGGUCACGUGCCAGUUGAUGAUGUCAUAGGAAGCAGGUGGAUCUCCAUUCUGGUCGAAGUUGACGGGGUCACCCACAUGUGUGGUGAAGUUCACACCUCUCAGGUACACUGACCUAUGACCUCUGACCCUGAACACAGCCGAGCAGUGCCCUGACCGGCCUCCAAAGAACACCCAAACAGCUCUUCCCACAAUUCCCUGAGGAAGGGGUCGUGAUGGGGCGAGGGCCCGUCUGGCUUCAGCUGGGUCAGGAAGUCUCCCAGCCCAGGGAUAGGGGCCCUCCGGAGGGCAAACCCGAUGGUGCCGGCCAGCGAGGGGAGGUUCUGGGGGACUGAGAGUCUGGUGAAGGUGACCCAGCCCUCAGUAGCAAUCCACUGCUUAUCUGUGAUGUUCUGACGGACUACUUCUUUUAAAAGAAACUGUAGAAUGAAAAACAGGAUAAAGGAAGUUGCCUUUUUCUGGCAGAGAAAUUGACAGAUCUGUCUUUUACAGAAUGCUGUGUGUGGACCUCAGACCUGUACUAACAUGGCUCACCUGUGCGUCCUGGGAGCUGGCAAACACCACCACAACCGUGGCAGAGGAUCUCUGGAUGGUGUCAACCACCAGACUGAUCCUGCUCUGGGAAUGGACCUUAGGGGAGGAGAAAAUUAUGAUUAGAGAGAGAGAAGAGAAGCGAAACUGAAGAGAAGUGAGAGAAAGAGGAUGAGAGAGAAGAGAGAGAAAAAGAGAGAGAAGAAUAUACAAAAUCAGAAACACACAGAAACAGAUACCGACACAAAAACCAUGAGGCAGGUCUUCAGACAGUACUUUGGGGACCUCAGAGAGAGAGAGAAAGAGAGAGAGAGAGAGAAAGAUAGAGAGGAAAGCCUAUACAGAUGAAUGAACAUACACAGACUUGUCUAGAAUACCUUGGGGAUGACCUCAGAGUACGAGACACACACUCCAGAGCCCCUCAGCUCCUGCAGCAGCAUUUGGACCCCAUACUUCCCGUAGUCAUCGUCCCCAGACAACAGGCCCACCCAGGUCCAGCCUAGCCGGGACAGAAGCCAGGCCAUGGCCCGUGCCUGGAAGGCAUCGCUGGGAACAGUCCUGAAGAAGGAGGGAUGGAGCCUCCCUGCCUACCAUGGGCAGGGUAAACACUCCCAGGGUCUGUGCCACCACGAUGGAGGCUGAGGAGCGGGCGUCUCCGAUGAUGACUGGCACCUCGGGGGUUGUGCCACAGUCUGUGCCUGAUAUGGAGUCUUCCUGCCCGGUCACCAUGCCCAGGGCUGCCCCCAAGGUGGUGCCCUCGGCCAGGCAGGAGUCUGAGGCCAGGUACCCCAGCCUGAGCCCAGGGAGGAGGCUAGGGUUACGGUUCACCUCCUCCACAGCAAAGAUCAUGGUCUGGAGCCAGCGGUAUGCACGCUGGUUGAAACUGGAGCAGGGGAGCAAGAUGGAGGGAGGGGAGGGAGAAGAAGAGAGAGUUCUGGGUUAAAGUAUAUGGAAAAGAGGGAAAACAUUUUAACAAGAAAGAAAAACUAGUGCAAAGAGCAGAAAUUGGGACAAUUUCAUACAUUACUUUGAUAAACAAUUAUAUACAUUUAAUUUACAAACCACUUACAUGGUACAGUUAGUGUUGCUGCGUUGGCUCCUAAACUCCAGCUCAGGUUCUGGAGCUUCCACAUGGAUUGGGAACAGUCCCCCGAUCACCACGUCCCCUGCCCGAUAUACACUGCCAGACACAGGCUUAGCUAACAGCCGGCAGGCCCCCCCUCCUGCCAGCCCCAGGACCAGCCCAGGGAGGCAGGCCAGCAACCACAGCCAGCCAGAGAGCCACAUCACCUGGGGAGAGGACCGACGGGGAACCAUCACAUGGAGCUGAGAAAAGAAGACCAACUUAAAGGAUGGACAGUGAUCAGACACACUUUCUUCCCGGUCUCAGCAACCAGUCGAGUUACCUGUCUGGCUCCCUCCUAGCAAGGCACAUGCUAGUUUCUAGGGGAAACAGGCUUUCCAGGUCUCAGCAGGAUGAUGUAACACUUUGGGGCGAAGAUGCAGGCCAGAAGUCCGUAACUGGAGGCCAGGAUGGCAAAGAUCUCCACUGCAACCGUGUACUUCCCUGGAGAACUGACAUAAGCUGGGAUGAACGCGACCCACACGGCGCAGAAGAUCAGCAUGCUGAAGGUGAUGAGCUUGGCCUCGUUGAAGUUGUCUGGGAGUUUCCUGGCCAGGAAGGCCAGGAGGAGGCAGAGGGAGGCCAGCAGGCCGAUGUACCCAAGGACCAGGGAGAAGCCCAGGGCUGAGCCCUCAUCACAGAGCAGGAUGAUCUGGGCGUUCUCAUGGCUCAUCAGUCUGUGAGGGGUGGGAGGGGCCACAGCCAGCCACACAACACAGAUCACCACCUGGACCGCAAAGGAGGACAGGCCAAGCUGAAACACACAUAGGUCUGAAACACACAUUUGUCUGAAACACACUCAGAUGAAACAUAUGCUCCACACAUAAGGACAGUGAAUUCUUCUGGCAGAUGGUUUUAUCCAAAGCGUACACAGGGGGAUUUAAACCUACAACCUAAUGAU